rnacentral:rRNA from 1 species
GUGCCAGCAGCCGCGGUAAUACGUAGGGGGCGAGCGUUGUCCGGAAUCAUUGGGCGUAAAGCGCGCGCAGGCGGUCCCUUAAGUCUGAUGUGAAAUCUUGCGGCUCAACCGCAAGAGGUCAUUGGAAACUGGGGGACUUGAGUGCAGGAGAGGGAAGCGGAAUUCCAUGUGUAGCGGUGAAAUGCGUAGAGAUAUGGAGGAACACCAGUGGCGAAGGCGGCUUCCUGGCCUGUAACUGACGCUCAGGCGCGAAAGCGUGGGGAGCAAACAGGAUUAGAUACCCGAGUAGUCC